rnacentral:rRNA from 1 species
UACGAAGGGUGCAAGCGUUAAUCGGAAUUACUGGGCGUAAAGCGCGCGUAGGUGGUUCAGUAAGUUGGAUGUGAAAUCCCCGGGCUCAACCUGGGAACUGCAUCCAAAACUGCUGAGCUAGAGUACGGUAGAGGGUGGUGGAAUUUCCUGUGUAGCGGUGAAAUGCGUAGAUAUAGGAAGGAACACCAGUGGCGAAGGCGACCACCUGGACUGAUACUGACACUGAGGUGCGAAAGCGUGGGAAGCAAACAGG